rnacentral:rRNA from 1 species
UACGGGGGGGGCAAGCGUUGUUCGGAAUUACUGGGCGUAAAGGGCUCGUAGGCGGUCAACUAAGACAGACGUGAAAUCCCUCGGCUUAACCGGGGAACUGCGUCUGAUACUGGAUGGCUUGAGUUUGGGAGAGGGAUGCGGAAUUCCAGGUGUAGCGGUGAAAUGCGUAGAGAUCCGGAGGAACACCAGAGGCGCAGGCGGCUUGCUGGGUCUGUAUUGACGCUCAGACACGAAAGCAUGGGGAGCGAACGGG